GAUGAACGCUCGCUACAGGCUUAACACAUGCAAGUCGAGGGGAAACGACAUCGAAAGCUUGCUUUUGAUGGGCGUCGACCGGCGCACGGGUGAGUAACGCGUAUCCAACCUGCCCAUCACUUGGGGAUAACCUUGCGAAAGUAAGACUAAUACCCAAUGAUAUCUCUAGAAGACAUCUGAAAGAGAUUAAAGAUUUAUCGGUGAUGGAUGGGGAUGCGUCUGAUUAGCUUGUUGGCGGGGUAACGGCCCACCAAGGCAACGAUCAGUAGGGGUUCUGAGAGGAAGGUCCCCCACAUUGGAACUGAGACACGGUCCAAACUCCUACGGGAGGCAGCAGUGAGGAAUAUUGGUCAAUGGGCGAGAGCCUGAACCAGCCAAGUAGCGUGCAGGAAGACGGCCCUAUGGGUUGUAAACUGCUUUUAUAAGGGAAUAAAGUGAGAGUCGUGACUCUUUUUGUAUGUACCUUAUGAAUAAGGACCGGCUAAGUCCGUG
rnacentral:rRNA from 1 species